GGGGCUGUUCUGGCUUUUGACGGGUUGGCCAAUAGAUGUGUAAGCACGUAGAGCUUGAGAGUAUGCUCUUAAAUAUCGCUUUCAACAACGUAAACGGCGAGUCUAACUUUGCCAUGGCUGCGUAGUCUUAGAGACUAAGCAAUUGCCAUCCGCUUGCCCAAGUCAUGUCUCGGAUACGAGGGAUCACAAGCGGUCGAUAAUCUGAGGUAAUUUUGGUGUAUUUCUACCAAGCCAAAAUUUAUAAUGUAGGAUAAGGAUAGUUUGGGUUUGUAAUGCACCUGGCCUGUCUCGAAAAUCAAGCAAAACUACACGUGUAGAAAGCGCAACUCUAUUCCGAUUCGGACCCGGGUUCGACUCCCGGCAGCUCCACUU
rnacentral:tmRNA from 1 species